UACGUAGGGCGCAAGCGUUUGUCCGGAAUUAUUGGGCGUAAAGAGCUCGUAGGCGGCCUGUUGCGUCCGCUGUGAAAUCCCGGGGCUUAACCCCGGGCUUGCAGUGGAUACGGGCAGGCUAGAGUUCGGCAGGGGAGACUGGAAUUCCUGGUGUAGCGGUGAAAUGCGCAGAUAUCAGGAGGAACACCGGUGGCGAAGGCGGGUCUCUGGGCCGAUACUGACACUGAGGAGCGAAAGCGUGGGGAGCGAACAGG
rnacentral:rRNA from 1 species